AAAUUGAAGAGUUUGAUCAUGGCUCAGAUUGAACGCUGGCGGCAGGCCUAACACAUGCAAGUCGAACGGUAACAGGAAGCAGCUUGCUGCUUUGCUGACGAGUGGCGGACGGGUGAGUAAUGUCUGGGAAACUGCCUGAUGGAGGGGGAUAACUACUGGAAACGGUGGCUAAUACCGCAUAAUGUCGCAAGACCAAAGAGGGGGACCUUCGGGCCUCUUGCCAUCAGAUGUGCCCAGAUGGGAUUAGCUUGUUGGUGAGGUAACGGCUCACCAAGGCGACGAUCCCUAGCUGGUCUGAGAGGAUGACCAGCCACACUGGAACUGAGACACGGUCCAGACUCCUACGGGAGGCAGCAGUGGGGAAUAUUGCACAAUGGGCGCAAGCCUGAUGCAGCCAUGCCGCGUGUAUGAAGAAGGCCUUCGGGUUGUAAAGUACUUUCAGCGGGGAGGAAGGUGUUGUGGUUAAUAACCGCAGCAAUUGACGUUACCCGCAGAAGAAGCACCGGCUAACUCCGUGCCAGCAGCCGCGGUAAUACGGAGGGUGCAAGCGUUAAUCGGAAUUACUGGGCGUAAAGCGCACGCAGGCGGUCUGUCAAGUCGGAUGUGAAAUCCCCGGGCUCAACCUGGGAACUGCAUUCGAAACUGGCAGGCUUGAGUCUUGUAGAGGGGGGUAGAAUUCCAGGUGUAGCGGUGAAAUGCGUAGAGAUCUGGAGGAAUACCGGUGGCGAAGGCGGCCCCCUGGACAAAGACUGACGCUCAGGUGCGAAAGCGUGGGGAGCAAACAGGAUUAGAUACCCUGGUAGUCCACGCCGUAAACGAUGUCUACUUGGAGGUUGUGCCCUUGAGGCGUGGCUUCCGGAGCUAACGCGUUAAGUAGACCGCCUGGGGAGUACGGCCGCAAGGUUAAAACUCAAAUGAAUUGACGGGGGCCCGCACAAGCGGUGGAGCAUGUGGUUUAAUUCGAUGCAACGCGAAGAACCUUACCUGGUCUUGACAUCCACGGAACUUUCCAGAGAUGGAUUGGUGCCUUCGGGAACCGUGAGACAGGUGCUGCAUGGCUGUCGUCAGCUCGUGUUGUGAAAUGUUGGGUUAAGUCCCGCAACGAGCGCAACCCUUAUCCUUUGUUGCCAGCGGUCCGGCCGGGAACUCAAAGGAGACUGCCAGUGAUAAACUGGAGGAAGGUGGGGAUGACGUCAAGUCAUCAUGGCCCUUACGACCAGGGCUACACACGUGCUACAAUGGCGCAUACAAAGAGAAGCGACCUCGCGAGAGCAAGCGGACCUCAUAAAGUGCGUCGUAGUCCGGAUUGGAGUCUGCAACUCGACUCCAUGAAGUCGGAAUCGCUAGUAAUCGUGGAUCAGAAUGCCACGGUGAAUACGUUCCCGGGCCUUGUACACACCGCCCGUCACACCAUGGGAGUGGGUUGCAAAAGAAGUAGGUAGCUUAACCUUCGGGAGGGCGCUUACCACUUUGUGAUUCAUGACUGGGGUGAAGUCGUAACAAGGUAACCGUAGGGGAACCUGCGGUUGGAUCACCUCCUUACCUUAAAGAA
rnacentral:rRNA from 1 species